rnacentral:lncRNA from 1 species
UUGGCCAGCUAUGUGUAUCCAUGGAGACAAGAGUCAACCAGAAAGAGAUUGGGUACUUAAUGAGUUCCGUUCUGGAAAGGCACCCAUCCUUAUUGCUACAGAUGUAGCCUCCCGUGGGCUAGGUUCUCCGGCGCUUGGCAACCAAAUGGGGCUACAGAGAAGCAUCUAAGCCAGUUCACAGAGCGAGCGUGUGUGGGGACUUCUCACUGCCACGGACCCUUGAUGCAUGCUCCCCGCGCUCCAGUGGUCCCGUGUCAGAAGGCGGAGUUUUCGAAAGGAGGCCGCCAAAAAUAAAAGGCAAAGAGACGGGAUCGGCUGCAGCGGUUUCCCAAAGGAGGAGGGAGUGUGCAUCGGUCUGGUAACAAACAGAGAAUGUUUUUUAAUUAUUUAUAUCACAAAAAUCU